GCGCUCGCUUUGGCAGCACAUAUACUAAAAUUGGAACGAUACAGAGAAGAUUAGCAAGGCCCCUGUGCAAAGAUGACAUGCAAAUUUGUUAAGCGUUCCAUAUUUUU
rnacentral:snRNA from 1 species